UACGAAGGGGGCGAGCGUUUGUUCGGAUUUACUGGGCGUAAAGGGCGCGUAGGCGGUACUUCAAGUCAGGCGUGAAAGCCCCGGGCUCAACCUGGGAACCGCGCUUGAGACUGGAGAACUAGAGUUCGGGAGAGGAUGGUGGAAUUCCCAGUGUAGAGGUGAAAUUCGUAGAUAUUGGGAAGAACACCGAUGGCGAAGGCAGCCAUCUGGACCGACACUGACGCUGAGGCGCGAAAGCGUGGGGAGCAAACGGG
rnacentral:rRNA from 1 species